rnacentral:rRNA from 1 species
GAGAGUUUGAUCCUGGCUCAGAUUGAACGCUGGCGGCAGGCCUAACACAUGCAAGUCGAGCGGUAGAGAGGUGCUUGCACCUCUUGAGAGCGGCGGACGGGUGAGUAAUGCCUAGGAAUCUGCCUGGUAGUGGGGGAUAACGCUCGGAAACGGACGCUAAUACCGCAUACGUCCUACGGGAGAAAGCAGGGGACCUUCGGGCCUUGCGCUAUCAGAUGAGCCUAGGUCGGAUUAGCUAGUUGGUGAGGUAAUGGCUCACCAAGGCGACGAUCCGUAACUGGUCUGAGAGGAUGAUCAGUCACACUGGAACUGAGACACGGUCCAGACUCCUACGGGAGGCAGCAGUGGGGAAUAUUGGACAAUGGGCGAAAGCCUGAUCCAGCCAUGC